GACAACGCAGUCCUGCCCAAAGUUCCCUUUCCCACAGCCCUGUUUCCCAGGGCCAGGUGAAAGCCGUAACUCUGAACAUUCAGCAAUUGAAGUCUUGUAGGCUUGGGCAUUCCAGCACAUAAUUAACUCUCUGGUGCUUUCCCCUGGCUGAAGUAACUCCUCCCUUGCACUUGCUCAGCUGGCUUUUUCCGAACACAGAACUCCUGGAGGCGGGGACUGGGUUUUUUUCAGUGGCUGUUAGAUGUAGAUGGCACAACGCACAGGUGGUGGCCAGACCAAAAUCCCACACACAGUCUCUCCUGCCCCAUCCGUGGAGCAACAGGCUACAAAGCAGAUGAGGAAAAACACCCGCCCACAUUUGAACCCCUCUGCCUCCUGUGCUCCCGAGCCAGCUUUAGCAAUUUCAGAAGGAAUUGCCAUGCUAACACCACAUGACUAUCACCCUUAUGAAAGCCUUAUCCUGAAGUGACAAAACAAAUUAAUUGCUGCUCCUACGUGUAUGUUCAGACUUGGAACAUUAAUUAACAUGCACAUUUUUUGGUACAACUUCUGCCCUUUCAUGCCAGCAAUGGCUAAAUUAAUGACUGUCCAUGUGACAAGAGGUGGAGAGCUGAGGCAUUGGAGUCAAAUGAUCAUUAACACACACAGGGACUCGGACAGAGAACAGUUCACCCCUUCGUCCUUGCUACAGUGCAACCAAAGCAGAACUUCAUUCUCCUUCCUUUCCUGCUUCACAUGGAGCUUUGAUUUCUCUGUCUGUUCAUAGAUCUCCUAAGUAAAGGCAUCACGCUGGACUA